UACAGGGGGGGCAAGCGUUGUUCGGAAUUACUGGGCGUAAAGGGCUUGUAGGUGGCCAACUAAGUCCGACGUGAAAUCCCUAGGCUUAACCUAGGAACUGCGUCGGAUACUGGAUGGCUUGAAUCCGGGAGAGGGAUGCGGAAUUCCAGGUGUAGCGGUGAAAUGCGUAGAUAUCUGGAAGAACACCGGUGGCGAAGGCGGCAUCCUGGACCGGUAUUGACACUGAAAAGCGAAAGCCAGGGGAGCAAACGGG
rnacentral:rRNA from 1 species